rnacentral:tRNA from 1 species
GCUGUGGUGGUGAAAUUGGUAUACACGCUAGCUUGAGGGGCUAGUGGGGGUUACCCCGUGGAGGUUCAAGUCCUCUCCACAGCA